rnacentral:misc_RNA from 1 species
UACUCUCACACUCUCUGAUAUUCGGGGAGCGGUGGACUUGGGUGGUUGCUGCUUUCCUUGCGGCUCACCUUAAAUGCGUCAGUGCACCUCUGGGUUGGACAUAGUACGGCGUGAUAAGUGUCUUCGCCGGCGCCUCGCAAGAGGGUGACCGAUCGAGAGCUCUGUGCUUUCAAACCGUCUUCGGACAAUCUCUGACA